rnacentral:rRNA from 1 species
CAUAAAAGUAGCAAUACUUCUGGUGGCGACCGGCGCACGGGUGAGUAACGCGUAUGCAACCUUCUCUAUCAGAGGGGAAUAACCCGGCGAAAGUCGGACUAAUACCGCAUAAAACAGGGACACCGCAUGGUGAUAUUUGUUAAAGAAAUUCGCUGAUAGAUGGGCAUGCGUUCCAUUAGGUAGUUGGUGAGGUAACGGCUCACCAAGCCGACGAUGGAUAGGGGAACUGAGAGGUUGGUCCCCCACACUGGUACUGAGACACGGACCAGACUCCUACGGGAGGCAGCAGUGAGGAAUAUUGGUCAAUGGGCGAGAGCCUGAACCAGCCAAGUCGCGUGAAGGAAGAAGGAUCUAUGGUUCGUAAACUUCUUUUGCAGGGGAAUAAAGUGCAGGACGUGUCCUGUUUUGUAUGUACCCUGAGAAUAAGGAUCGGCUAACUCCGUGCCAGCAGCCGCGGUAAUACGGAGGAUCCGAGCGUUAUCCGGAUUUAUUGGGUUUAAAGGGUGCGUAGGUGGUUUGAUAAGUCAGCGGUGAAAGUUUGCAGCUUAACUGUAAAAAUGCCGUUGAAACUGUCGGACUUGAGUGUAAAUGAGGUAGGCGGAAUGCGUGGUGUAGCGGUGAAAUGCUUAGAUAUCACGAAGAACUCCGAUUG